CCUACGGGGGGCAGCAGUGGGGAAUAUUGCACAAUGGGGGAAACCCUGAUGCAGCGACGCCGCGUGAGUGAAGAAGUAUUUCGGUAUGUAAAGCUCUAUCAGCAGGGAAGAAGCAAGACGGUACCUGACUAAGAAGCCCCGGCUAACUACGUGCCAGCAGCCGCGGUAAUAAGUAGGGGGCAAGCGUUAUCCGGAUUUACUGGGUGUAAGGGGAGCGUAGACGGUAUGGUAAGGAUGAAGUGAAAGCCCAGGGCUUAACCCUGGGACUGCUUUGGAAACUGUUAGACUAGAGUGCUGGAGAGGUAAGUGGAAUUCCUAGUGUAGCGGUGAAAUGCGUAGAUAUUAGGAGGAACACCAGUGGCGAAGGCGGCUUACUGGACAGUAACUGACGUUGAGGCUCGAAAGCGUGGGGAGCAAACAGGAUUAGAUACCCGAGUAGUC
rnacentral:rRNA from 1 species